CCUACGGGAGGCAGCAGUAAGGAAUAUUGGACAAUGGGCGAGAGCCUGAUCCAGCCAUGCCGCGUGCAGGAAGAAGGACCUAUGGUUUGUAAACUGCUUUUGAAUGGGAGAAAACCUGGGUACGUGUACCCAGCUGAUAGUACCAUUAGAAUAAGCAUCGGCUAACUUCGUGCCAGCAGCCGCGGUAAGACGAAGGAUGCAAGCGUUAUCCGGAUUCAUUGGGUUUAAAGGGAGCGUAGGCGGAUAGAUAAGUCAGUGGUGAAAUCUCUGGGCUUAACCCAGAAACUGCCAUUGAUACUGUUUAUCUAGAGUACAUUUGCUGUGGGCGGAAUAUGACAUGUAGUGGUGAAAUACUUAGAUAUGUCAUAGAACACCGAUUGCGAAGGCAGCUCACAAAAAUGUAACUGACGCUGAGGCUCGAAAGUGCGGGGAUCAAACAGGAUUAGAUACCCUGGUAGUCCGCACUGUAAACGAUGAUUACUCGCUGCUUGGAGGCAACUCUGNGUGNGUAGACGAAGAGAGAAGUAAGUACACCGUCGGGAGGUACGGCCGGCCGACGGUAGAACGUACGAAGAAGUUAGACGGACGNGAGAGAGCGACGGACGACGACGAGGGAGGAGG
rnacentral:rRNA from 1 species